rnacentral:rRNA from 1 species
ACGGAAGGCAGCAGUGAGGAAUAUUGGUCAAUGGGCGAGAGCCUGAACCAGCCAAGUAGCGUGAAGGAUGACUGCCCUACGGGUUGUAAACUUCUUUUAUACGGGAAUAAAAAAGGCCACGCGUGGCCUCUUGCAUGUACCGUAUGAAUAAGCAUCGGCUAAUUCCGUGCCAGCAGCCGCGGUAAUACGGAAGAUGCGAGCGUUAUCCGGAUUUAUUGGGUUUAAAGGGAGCGUAGGCGGGCCUUUAAGUCAGUGGUAAAAGCGUGUGGCUCAACCAUACCACGCCAUUGAAACUGGAGGCCUUGAGUGCACACAGGGAUGCUGGAAUUCGUCGUGUAGCGGUGAAAUGCUUAGAUAUGACGAAGAACUCCGAUCGCGAAGGCAGGUGUCCGGGGUGUAACUGACGCUGAGGCUCGAAAGUGCGGGUAUCGAACAGGAUUAGAUACCCUGGUA